CGUUUGGAAUAAAUUCGCCGAUUUGACUUUUUUGUCAAAUUAUUGAAUGCUUCCCUUCCCUUCCCUUUCCUUCUCGGUCUCCUCGUUUUCGAUCGCGUUAAUUUAAAACAAAACGCGUAACCGAUUAAUUGGUUGCUACUCGAGUCUUUAAAACUUGGCGGGGAUCGAGAUAAGAGAAUCGCUCGGGUAAAAGAAUCCAGAUUUAAUCUUCGCAAUGCCUAAUUUCAGAGCAAAUAGUUUAUUCAUGUGUAUUUUUUGACCUGAAAGUUUUCUCAAGAGGAUUAUCAGCAAAUUCAACUUAUUUUCAACUCGAGAUAAACGACGUACAUUACAAGAGAAAAUGUACACAUAUAAUUGAUACAUGUAUAAACAUUUGAAGACCACAGGAGAACUUGAUAAGUCACAUUUUUUAGAGGAAAGCGUUUUUGAAGUUCGAAACGUACGUGUAUUUCUCUGUACAAGUUUUUUUAUAAAACUGCUUAUAUCUCAGAAUCUAUCAAUAAUUUUUCCCUCUCGCUUUGAAUAAUUAAAAUAUUUCAUUUUUCAACUACUAAAUAACAUCAAAAACCAGAAAUCGAAAAAAAUGAACUUAUUUAAGUUCUUCUCUUGCGGCCUUCAUUUGUAAUACAAAGUUUUGGAUAUAUCUCGGAAAUCGUUUCUGGUUAACGAUAUCGAAAUUUCCAAGUUGACUCUCGUACUCGAUCUUUGGUUUACAACGUUUCGACUAUGGAUGGCAUCUUAGAGUAUCACUUUCGACUAAGGAUUCGUAAUAUGUCGAUCAUAAGUGUUGAUUCGAGUCGAUAUAUAUUGGCAAAUUGGAUGAAAAUGGAAAGAAAACAGCGGGGAAAAAACGGCGAAAGAAGAACAAGACUGUGCUGCGACUUGUUCUUUUACAGGGCGUAAGAAUGAAAGAGAAGAAA